UGGGGAAUAUUGCACAAUGGGGGAAACCCUGAUGCAGCGACGCCGCGUGAGUGAAGAAGUAUUUCGGUAUGUAAAGCUCUAUCAGCAGGGAAGAAAAUGACGGUACCUGACCAAGAAGCCCCGGCUAACUACGUGCCAGCAGCCGCGGUAAUACGUAGGGGGCAAGCGUUAUCCGGAUUUACUGGGUGUAAAGGGAGCGUAGACGGUUGUGCAAGUCAGAAGUGAAAGCCCGGGGCUCAACUCCGGGACUGCUUUUGAAACUGUGAAACUGGAGUGCAGGAGAGGUAAGCGGAAUUCCUGGUG
rnacentral:rRNA from 1 species